GACAGAGGUGCCAAGCGUUAGGCGGAAUCACUGGGCUUAAAGCGUGUGUAGGCGGACUUCUAAGUGCCUUGUGAAAUCCCACGGCUCAACCGUGGAACUGCUGGGCAUACUGGGAGUCUUGAGCCACCUAGGGGCGAGCGGAACAAAUGGUGGAGCGGUGAAAUGCGUAGAUAUCAUUUGGAACGCCAAAGGUGAAAACAGCUCGCUGGGGGUGUGCUGACGCUGAGACACGAAAGCCAGGGGAGCAAACGGG
rnacentral:rRNA from 1 species